UACGUAGGGGGCUAGCGUUGUCCGGAUUUAUUGGGCGUAAAGAGCGUGUAGGCGGCCGUGCAAGUCUGGCGUGAAAGCCCCGGGCUCAGCCCGGGAAGUGCGCUCGAAACUGCGCGGCUCGAGUGCCGGAGGGGAGAGUGGAAUUCCUGGUGUAGCGGUGAAAUGCGUAGAUAUCAGGAGGAAUACCGGUGGCGAAGGCGACUACCUGGCCUGUUCUUGACGCUGAGGCGCGAAAGCUAGGGGAGCAAACGGG
rnacentral:rRNA from 1 species